rnacentral:lncRNA from 1 species
UUUGUUUAUUCAGCUUCCUAAUGACUCUGGUAGUUAUCUAAUGUAAAAAAAAAGUUUUUGCUUACCUAGAGUAGAUACAUUAUUUACCACUGGACUUCAACCAAUGUGAACUUUGCAGAAUUUUCUCUAUUCUUAUUUUUCCUCUGGGAUUUGGCUUAGUUUCUAGGAAGGAUUUUGGAUAUCUGCUACCAUACCACCAUCUUUUCUGGAAGUCUGUUUAUAAUAAAUUUCAGGUCAGAAACUGGCAGCAAUUUCUGGAAAUGGAGAAUUAACUCUGCUAGCACAAAAUGAGGAGUUAUCACCAUAAAAAGAACAUGACAAGAUGUUUUUCGGACCUGAACAGGAAGAGAUGGUGCCAGGACCCUAUGAAGAAUCUUCACCUGCCCCAAAUGAGUGAUAAAC